rnacentral:rRNA from 1 species
UGGGUGAUCUGCCCUGCACUUCGGGAUAAGCUUGGGAAACUGGGUCUAAUACCGGAUAGGAGCCAUCUUUAGUGUGGUGGUUGGAAAGUUUUUUCGGUGUAGGAUGAGCUCGCGGCCUAUCAGCUUGUUGGUGGGGUAAUGGCCUACCAAGGCGGCGACGGGUAGCCGGCCUGAGAGGGUGUACGGCCACAUUGGGACUGAGAUACGGCCCAG